rnacentral:rRNA from 1 species
GACGAACGCUGGCGGCGUGCUUAACACAUGCAAGUCGAACGGAAAGGCCCUGCUUUUGUGGGGUGCUCGAGUGGCGAACGGGUGAGUAACACGUGAGUAACCUGCCCUUGACUUUGGGAUAACUUCAGGAAACUGGGGCUAAUACCGGAUAGGAGCUCCUGCUGCAUGGUGGGGGUUGGAAAGUUUCGGCGGUUGGGGAUGGACUCGCGGCUUAUCAGCUUGUUGGUGGGGUAGUGGCUUACCAAGGCUUUGACGGGUAGCCGGCCUGAGAGGGUGACCGGCCACAUUGGGAAUGAGAUACGGGCCAGACUCCUAAGGGAGGCAGAAGGGGGGAAUAUUGCACAAUGGGCGGAAGCCUGAUGCAGCAACGCCGCGUGCGGGAUGAAGGCCUUCGGGUUGUAAACUGCUUUCGCCUGUGACGAAGCGUGAGUGACGGUAAUGGGUAAAGAAGCACCGGCUAACUACGUG